GACGAACGUUGGCGGCGCGCCUAAUACAUGCAAGUCGAACGCAUUUUCUUUCACCGUAGCUUGCUACACCGAAAGAAAAUGAGUGGCGAACGGGUGAGUAACACGUGGGUAACCUGCCCAUCAGCGGGGGAUAACACUUGGAAACAGGUGCUAAUACCGCAUAAUUCCAUUUACUGCAUGGUAGAUGGAUGAAAGGCGCUUUUGCGUCACUGAUGGAUGGACCCGCGGUGCAUUAGCUAGUUGGUGGGGUAACGGCCUACCAAGGCUGCGAUGCAUAGCCGACCUGAGAGGGUGAUCGGCCACACUGGGACUGAGACACGGCCCAGACUCCUACGGGAGGCAGCAGUAGGGAAUCUUCGGCAAUGGACGCAAGUCUGACCGAGCAACGCCGCGUGAGUGAAGAAGGUUUUCGGAUCGUAAAACUCUGUUGUUAGAAAAGAACAAGGAUGAGAGUGGAAAGUUCAUCCCUUGACGGUAUCUAACCAGAAAGCCACGGCUAACUACGUG
rnacentral:rRNA from 1 species